AGUGGGCAGGGAGAUCACUGCAAGAACCCGAGAUAAGUUGAGUGUUUGCAGCAAAAGUUCCCCAAGAGCAAGGUGCCCUGAUGUUCCCGACUCCAGGCUGGACAGCCAGUGGACGGGGUGAUCCAUCUCUGGCCACCGAGGAGAGUCCUGUUCCAGAGUUUCUCCACAUAUCCAUCCUGGCUGUCCUGGAACUUGCUCUGUAGGCCAGUCCUGAAGUUCCCAGAGAUCCACCCGCCUCUGUCUCUUCAGAGCUAGGAUUAAAGGCAUGUGCCUAAAAUGUAUAUUAUAAGAUUCUUAUUUCAGUGGAAAAAUUCUGUGAUCUCCUUUGAACACAGCAGCAACUCAUGCUCGGUAAAGUUCACGAGAGGAGGCCCUUGCGGAGACAAACCUGCCAGCCCUCCCGCACUAGAGAAGAAAGAGAGCACGGUGCUCGCUUCUGACGUGUCCUUGUCUUUGCAAGUCCAUGUUUCCUUCGUCACAGCCCUCACAUGAUGCAGGAGCGUCAACCCUGGAAGUUUCUUGGGAACAGAGAACAGCUUCGGACACAGACU